rnacentral:misc_RNA from 1 species
UCCGGCUUAUCACCGGCGGUUUCUUUAGAGUGCCCAACUAAAUGAUGGCAACUAAAGACGAGGGUUGCGCUCGUUGCGGGACUUAACCCAACAUCUCACGACACGAGCUGACGACAGCCAUGCAGCACCUGUGUUCCACCCACCCGAAGUGAAGGAUCUGAUCUCUCAGACCCAUAGUGGACAUGUCAAAGGCUGGUAAGGCUCUUCGCGUUGCGUCGAAUUAAACCACAUACUCCACCGCUUGUGCGGGCCCCCGUCAAUUCAUUUGAGUUUCAACCUUGCGGCCGUACUCCCCAGGCGGCAUGCUUAGUGCGUUAGCUGCGACACAAGAGAGCUAAGCCCUCCAACGUCUAGCAUGCAUCGUUUACGGCGUGGACUAC